AUUAAGUAAGAUUUAAAAAUGCUAUAUAAAUAACGUACAUGUUAACUUAUAUAAUGUUAAAAACUAAAUCCUUAUUGAAAACUGUUACAAUAAUUAUAUAUAUAUAUAUAUAUAUAUAUAUAUAUAUAUUGUUCUAUGUGUGUGUGUGUGUGUCUGUGAGAAAGACAGAGAGAGAGAGAGAGAGAGAGAGAGAGAGAGAGAGAGAGAGAGAGUUAACAUCUCUUUAAUCACCAGAAGAAAAAAAAAGAAAAAAAAAAUCAGUAAUUGUGUGUUGUUGUUUUUUUAUUUUUUCAUCAUUACAGCUUAAGAAAUCUCUUAGGCCUUAUCCUUUUCUGUCAGUUUUGGGGCCAACCUAGUACAAUUUGUAGGGCUCAGACAACAUUAUUUUACAUAAUUAGGUUAAGAAUUAUGUUAAUUGCAACAUAAAAAGAUUUUUUAAAAAUACAUACACAUGGAUAUAUAUUUAUAUUAUUCUGUAAAUAAUUUGAAACUUAUUUGGUACUGACCUAUGACAGACAUUCUGUGACAUGACAUUUACACAAUCUCAUGGAUGUAACAGUAAAACAGUUCAGCUCACAGAUGAAGACUAAGCUGUAAUGCAGGCAAAAAUAUUUUACAAGUGCUUAUAGAUCAAUAAAAUCGUUAAAAAUGUUUUUUCGCCGAGUGCAUAAUAAUAAUAAUUAGUCACAUUGAUAUUCUGGUGAUAUUUUUUUCCAAGCACAUUUUACCAAUUCCAAAUCACAUCAAUCUUAAUAAAUACUAUACAUUUGUUAUUUAAUCAUUUAUGAGUGAUAUAUAAUUGUCCUUGAAGGCUGGAAGUAAAAAACUCCUUAUAUUCAGGAGUGUUGAAUUAUUAGGCGUUUUUUUGCCAUGCAUUGGUCAUAGAGCUCAUUGUAGCGGUGUCUCAGGUGUUGAAAUAGAUUUGUUAUACAUUAUACAGGUUCACACGUACUCUGUCUGCAGUGCGUAUACAGUAUGUGUAUGCGGUGCAGAAGCAGCAGCGAGAGCGAGUUAUUGUAACGCGAAAGAACAUUAAAAUAAUGCGCGAGUGCGAAUCUAUCCGCUCACAAAACCAGACACGCGUGCUCAGAUACAUGCUCUAGCCCGGAGAGAAUGCGCGCACUUUAAACGUGCUUCCUCUCGCUGUGUCAUGUGAAUUCACAACUCUCUCUGUGCUCAUGCGCUAGAUAUUCAUUCUUUUCGCACCUUUUUAUUUCUAACCUUUUCUGUUCACAUCUUUUACCGUGUGCAGUGUGAACGCUCUGAUCCAUUAACAUGGGCUCGGAAAAAAAUACGCAUCACAGACAGAGCUUGUAAACCUGGCCUUACGUAGGCAUAUGCCCUGUCUGUCCUGUUCUCGCGCUCCAUUUAGGCGCCCUUCAUUCUGACUGGUUCAGAUAGCAACACCAAACGUGCAGUGUGUAAUACCAAUCAUGGCCACCACCAGGUGGAGCUAUAGGAUUACUUUUAAAUAAUUGUUGUUGAAACGUGUAUAGAGCAUUUAAAUCAUUUAUAAAAAUCUUUCAAAAAAAUAUGUAUUCUUAAAAGCUAAUGAAUUUUACUGGUAAUAUAGUUUUAUAUAAUCAUUUCACAAAUGUUUAUAGAUCAUUAAAAGGAUUUUUAACACUGGUUAUAGAUCAUGAAAAGUGUUGUCAACAAUUUAUAAUAAGCUCUUUUUGGUUUACAUUAGUUAAUGCAAUAACUAACAUGAACUAACAAUGCACAAUCUAUUUUUCAGAUUUUUAUUAAUCUUUUUUAUGUUAGUUAAUCCUAUCAUUAAAAAUAUUAAUAUUCAUGUUAUUUCACAGUACAUAAACUAAUCUUAAAAUAAAACUGUAAAUAAAAAAAAUAGUAGUAAAUAAUGUAUUAAAAUAUUUUUAACUAAGCUUUAAUUAACAUUAAUAUAUAUAAUUUUAUGUUAAAUAAUAUAGUAUUUAACAUUAGUACAAGCUAAGUAUGAACAAAAUAUUUUUACUGCAUUUGUUUGUGUUAGUAAUUUUUAGUUAGUAAAUUAAUAUGUUAAAUCAUGGUAUAGUAACUGAUGUACAUUAACUAUAAAUUUUAAUUAAUAAUGUAGUAAUCCAUUUUGAACAUAAUAUUAACUAAGAUCCAUAAAUGCUAUAUAAAUGAUGUACUUGUUAACUUAUAUAAUGUUAAAAACUAAAUCCUUAUUGAAAAGUGUUACAAUAAUAAGAAUAAUAAUAAUAAUUUAUUUGUGUGUGGGUGUGUGUGUAAGUGAGUGUGUGAGAAAGACAGAUAGAGAGACUCACAUUAAUAAAUGCCAUACAGUUGUUGUUAAUGUAAUUUAAUAUAAUUCAUGUUAAUAACUGAAACCUUAUUGGAAGUGUUACUCAAGUUUUAUAUAUUGUGUUGUGUGUGUGCUUGAUUGUUUGGAUUAACCCUUUCAUUGCUGUAUCCCUUAAAUCCAAACUGCUAAAUUAAGUGUGUCCAAUCCUGUUCCUGGUGAUCGACUGUCCUGAAAAGUUCAGGUCCAACUCUAAUCAGUCACACCUACCUUUAAUUUUCAAGCAAUCCUGAAGACGUUAAUUAGUUGCUUCAGGUGUGUUUGAGUAGGGUUGGAGCUAAACUUUGCAGGACAGUCGAUCGCCAUCAACAGGGUUGGACACCCCUGAGCUAGAGGGUUAUUGUGUAUGUCUCCACUGGGCACACUUUGACUGAUGGCACCGGGGUGGCGUUUGCGCUGACGGCUUGGGCCCGCCAUCGCUGCUUGCAGCUAUAUUUAUUAUUCUUCUCCAAAAUGAAUCGCAUUUUUGAGGGC
ensembl:lncRNA